CGCAACAGCAUCACAAGAUGUCGCACUUUACAAAGUUAAUAGUCAAAGCUGUAGAAGUCAUGGGAAGCCGGCGAAAAAGUUUUUCAUCAUGGUAAAGGCGAUACUGUUCCCCAUAUCAAAACCACCCAACUACUCCUGCGAGUGAGGUCCUGUAUUGAGUCUGCGACAACAAAGACCCUCAUUCUGCCUGACACUGGAGACGUUUUCCUGGCUAGAGCGAGGUCUGUGUCCCGGGACAGAGCAAUGCCAGCCAGCAAGAGAUGAUCCAUGUGUCCUGACAUAGUCUAGGAGCUGUUGCGAGUGCAGAUGAAAUGCAGUUGUGACCAGGCUGAAUCACAGCAGAACCUGGGGCCAAGCCACCACCGCCACCGCCACUCAGUGAGUGCUGGAUGCAAAACAGGUGUGAAGCGUUUAACGAACACUAUCCCAGUGAAAAUUCAGGAUUUUGUAUCUCCAUCUUCUGAGGCAAUUUCCUCAGCUGGUCUUCUGCUUGUCCCUCAUCUUUACUAACAUGAAGUCUUCUCAUUCCCAUAAAACAGUACAAUACUCCCUCACUGCUUAUUAACUGAACAGCUCUCUCUAUCAAUCUUUUGCAAUCUGAUCUAGUUGGACUGCUGUUCUCUCUCUCUCUCUCUCUCUCUCUCUCUCUCUCUC